UGUGGAAUAUUGCACAAUGGGCGCAAGCCUGAUGCAGCCAUGCCGCGUGUAUGAAGAAGGCCUUCGGGUUGUAAAGUACUUUCAGCGGGGAGGAAGGUGUUGAGGCUAAUAACCUCAGCAAUUGACGUUACCCGCAGAAGAAGCACCGGCUAACUCCGUGCCAGCAGCCGCGGUAAUACGGAGGGUGCAAGCGUUAAUCGGAAUUACUGGGCGUAAGGCGCACGCAGGCGGUCUGUCAAGUCGGAUGUGAAAUCCCCGGGCUCAACCUGGGAACUGCAUUCGAAACUGGCAGGCUAGAGUCUUGUAGAGGGGGGUAGAAUUCCAGGUGUAGCGGUGAAAUGCGUAGAGAUCUGGAGGAAUACCGGUGGCGAAGGCGGCCCCCUGGACAAAGACUGACGCUCAGGUGCGAAAGCGUGGGGAGCAAACA
rnacentral:rRNA from 1 species